AUUGAACGCUGGCGGCAUGCUUUACACAUGCAAGUCGAACGGCAGCGCGGGCUUCGGCCUGGCGGCGAGUGGCGAACGGGUGAGUACUGCAUCGGAACGUGCCCAGUAGUGGGGGAUAGCCCGCCGAAAGCCGGAUUCAUACCGCCAACGACCUGAGGGUGAAAGCGGGGGACCGAACGUCCUCGCGCUAUUGCAGCAGCCGAUGUCGGAUUAGCUAGUUGGUGGGGUAAAGGCUUACCAAGGCGACGAUCCGUCGCUGGUCUUAGAGGACGACCAGCCACACUGUGACUGAGGCACAGCCCAGACUCCGACGACAGGCAGCAGUGUUGAAUUUUGCACGAGGGUGGCAACGCUGAUACAGCCAUGCCGCGUGCGGCAAGAAGCCCUACGGGUUGGAAACCGAUUUGGUUCGUGGAGAAAUACUCUGGGCUUAUACCCCGGGGUGAUGACCGUACCGGAAGAAUAAGCACCGGCUAACUACGUG
rnacentral:rRNA from 1 species